AACGAACGCUGGCGGCGUGCCUAACACAUGCAAGUCGUGCGAGAAAGUUCCUUCGGGAGCGAGUAAAGCGGCGCACGGGUGAGUAACACGUAGGUAACCUGCCCCCCAGUCUGGAACAACUAGAGGAAACUCUAGCUAAUGCCGGAUGAGACCACGAUCCCUUCGGGGGUUGCGGCCAAAGAUGGCCUCUACUUGUAAGCUAUCGCUGAGGGAUGGGCCUGCGGGCCAUUAGCUUGUUGGUGAGGUAACGGCUCACCAAGGCUGUGAUGGCUAGCUGGUCUGAGAGGAUGACCAAGCCACACUGGGACUGAGACACGGCCCAGACUCCUACGGGAGCAGCAGUGGGGAAUAUUGCGCAAAUGGGCGAAAGCCUGACGCAGCGACGCCGCGUGGGUGAUGAAGGCCUU
rnacentral:rRNA from 1 species